rnacentral:misc_RNA from 1 species
AAACCCUCACCCUUGCGAUGUAACAGUCGCCCGUGGUGGACUUGGACUGUGCCGUAACCGGCUCGUCUUGAAAUGCAUUAGCUGGCGCUUUUAGAGUGCUGGGCGACGGUGUGAUAAUUAUCUGCGCCAAUGCCUUAGGCCUCUUCAGCGGUGCUGCUUACAGCCGUCCCUCUGUGGACACAUUAUUUUUAAAG